CUGGUCUGAGAGGAUGACCAGCCACACUGGAACUGAGACACGGUCCAGACUCCUACGGGAGGCAGCAGUGGGGAAUAUUGCACAAUGGGCGCAAGCCUGAUGCAGCCAUGCCGCGUGUAUGAAGAAGGCCUUCGGGUUGUAAAGUACUUUCAGCGGGGAGGAAGGGAGUAAAGUUAAUACCUUUGCUCAUUGACGUUACCCGCAGAAGAAGCACCGGCUAACUCCGUGCCAGCAGCCGCGGUAAUACGGAGGGUGCAAGCGUUAAUCGGAAUUACUGGGCGUAAAGCGCACGCAGGCGGUUUGU
rnacentral:rRNA from 1 species